UAAGUAAAGAUUCGGCCGCGUAUCCUCAUUUUUAGCAGGAUACGACACGACGUUCUCUCCCAACUGAAACCCUAGGUCUCAGUCUUCCAAUAGAACUUUGAAUUGAAAUCUCUUUGUCCCUCUUCUCUUUCUGAGAUAUGGCGAAGAAAAGAAAGCAGCGAUCCUCUGAACCCGCACCCGUUGAAACCCUUGUUCCGCAGCUUCAAGAGGUUCAAUCGCUGCCUGAAACAAUCCAGGAAGAAGACCCUCAAAAUGUGAACGUAGAAGAUGAUUCUGGACGACAACAACAAGAGCCUCAAGAAGCAGAGGAACAGGAGCUAGAAGAACUUGAGCACGGGAGAGAAGACGUAGAAAAAGAACCAGAAGAAGAAGAAGAAGGGGAAGGAAGACAACCGGAAGAGCAUCACUCUCAUAACCUAGAAGUCUCAUCAAGCGAAGCUGCACAGUCAAUCCCAGAAUUAGCUGAAGCGGAUAGUACUAAUGAAGGUGCUAGUAAUGGAAACCAAGCAAUUGAUGAAGAGGAAAAUGAAGACGACGAAUCUCUUGAGAAGCUUCUAGAGCCUUUGGGGAAAGACCAACUGGUUGGGCUCCUCAGAAAGUCCGUGGAUAAGUAUCCUGAUUUGAUAGAUUCUGUGCGUGAAAUUGCGGAUGCUGACCCCGGCCACCGCAAGAUCUUUGUGCACGGUCUCGGCUGGGAUACGACUGCUGAAACUCUCAAAUCUGAGUUUGGGAAGUACGGGGAGAUAGAGGACUGCAAGGCCGUCACCGACCGUGUCUCAGGGAAAUCCAAAGGCUAUGCCUUUAUAUUAUUCAAGCAGCGGGCUGGGGCACGAAAAGCCCUCAGGCAGCCUCAGAAGAAGAUAGGUAAUAGGAUUACGUCCUGUCAGUUGGCCACUGCAGGGCCUGUACCAGCUCCAUCCCCAACUACGCCAGCAGUAUCUGAGUACACUCAGAGGAAGAUUUUUGUGAGCAAUGUAUCAGCUGAGCUAGCGCCUGAGAAGCUUCUAGAGUUCUUUGGGCAGUACGGGGAGAUUGAGGAAGGCCCGCUUGGGAUUGAUAAGCAGACUGGGAAACCUAAGGGGUUUGCACUAUUCGUGUAUAAGUCAGUUGAGAGUGCAAAAAAGGCGCUCGAGGAGCCUCACAAGAAGUUCGAAGGUCAUACCCUGCAUUGCCAGAGGGCCAUUGAUGGGCCAAAAUCAAACAAGACGGGUUAUGCUGGUGCAGUUCACCAUCAGCAUCACCAUCAUCAGCCACAAUACCACCACGCAGCCAAGAAAGGUAAGUACUCAUCUGGUGCACACGGCCCUGGUCAUUUGAUGGCACCGUCUGGGCCAUCUGUGAACUUCAGUCCUGGAGUGGCAUCCCAAGGUCUGAACCCAGCGCUUGGGCAGGCCUUAACGGCUUUGGGUCUUGGUAACCUACUUGGAGGGCUUGGUGGUGCACCAGUGAAUAUGGGAGGGCCGCCUGCUGGAUAUGUUAAUCAGGCUGGUGGGGGAUACGGGAUUGAACCAGGCAUGCAGGGUGGAUACACAAACCUACAGAUGAACCCUCAUAUUGGACAGAGCAGUGCAGGCAGAGCUCAACAAGGUGGUCCUACUUAUAUGGGACAUUAGAUGCCUUCAUAGAUGCAUCAAUCAUUUACUUUUCAGCUCUGGUGAUUCUCUGAAGUUCCAGCCACUCUUGCAAAUGAAGUCUUAAAUUUGGAAUGAAAAGUUACUAUUUUCUCUAUAGGUGGUGGCAGCAGCAGCAGAGUAAGUGGCGGUGGCAGUGGCAUUGGCAACAAGAGAGCGAGCAGUGGUAGUAAAGGUGGUGGGGGCAGUGAUGCUUUUGCAGUGGUGGCAAGGAACAGACUGGGGAAAGAACUGGGAUGACAUGGUGACUGCCUAAAAUGAUUUUAUAAGACAAAUUUCCAGAAGCAAUGAUUUGUGGUUUACUGAUGCAUCUUUUUGCUUAUUAAAAUGGUUUUUGAAAGAGUUGCUCAAAAAAUUAAGACACUUUCAAGCAAACACCAUAUGCUUUUGUGCAAUUUGAAAUAUUUUAUCUUUGCCUGCAAACUAUUUUAGCCUAUGUUUAUUAGUUGAUUAGCUGAGAAUUCCAGCAAUGGAGUUCUCGAUGUUGAUUUCCUUGGUAGCAAAUAUCUUAAAAGAAUUUCUAUUAUUACUCUAUCCAUUUUAUUUGUUGCUUGACAUUCAAAACUUCAUUUUUUCACUGGAAUGUUUUACCUGAGAAUUCUCGAAUUUAUUUCUUAAACUUUGGAAUAUUUUAUUUGAUGGCCCACUUUUGGAAAUGUCCUAUAAAGAGGAGAGACUUCAAAUACUGAACUGCCUUGAGAAGCUUUCCUUUGUCAAGGCAAGGGGCUCUGGCAUUGGUAUGUAUCGCUGUCCUAUUCUGCAUUCACUGAUGUGUUGUUUUACUUUCACUUCUUCCUCUGAGGUAUGAAGUUAGUCCUCUGGUUGGCUGGUCCAGUUGAAUUUGAAACUAUAAUUGUAGUGCCUUGUUCUGGAAACUUUUUCUUUCUUCCUUCCCUCUGUAGACGAGAUGGCUUUGAAUGUAGCUGCUGGAACUGAGAACAGCUUUCUGGAUGUUGAGCAGCUCGAAGUUACCCAUGCUUGUCAUCUUUUUGUUAUCAAGAAAGGUUAUUUUGGAACUUGUAAUUCUUAUGGAGUUGAGCAAAUCAUUGUAUAUGAGCUGAGAAAAUUUUUGGACUUGGUUCUUAGCUUUGCGUCAGUGCGGUUGCCUGAAAAUGAGUUAUGCCCUUCGGUAUUAAGCAUCAAGUAGUUUUUUGGCCGUCUGCAGUAUGCGUCAUCAGCAGUUGCUUAAUUCAGAUUUGAAAAUUUGACAUGUAUGAUUGAGAUGACUGUUGGAUCUAAUCAUAUUCAUAUGUUUCUUUGGGCAA